AGCAGCCGCGGUAAUUCCAGCUCCAAUAGCGUAUAUUAAAGUUGUUGCAGUUAAAAAGCUCGUAGUUGAAUUUCGGGGUCAGUAGGUCGGUCGUGCCACUGGUAUGAACUGGUUUUACUGAUUCCUCCCUCUUGAAGAACUGUAAUGCCACUAAUUUGGUGUUGCAGGGAAUCAGGACUGUUACUUUGAAAAAUUAGAGUGUUUAAAGCAGGCUUUAGCUUGAAUACAUUAGCAUGGAAUAAUGAAAUAGGACGUUUGAUCCUAUUUUGUUGGUUUCUAGGAUUGACGUAAUGAUUAAUAGGGAUAGUUGGGGGCAUUAGUAUUCAAUUGUCAGAGGUGAAAUUCUUGGAUUUAUUGAAGACUAACUACUGCGAAAGCAUUUGCCAAGGAUGUUUUCAUUAAUCAAGAACGAAAGUUAGGGGAUCGAAGACGAUCAGAUACCGUCGUAGU
rnacentral:rRNA from 1 species